AAAAAGAAAAGACUUACUGUUUGAAGCCUUAUGAAAACCUACUAGAGUAAAACAAAUGCCUUUGAUGAUCAUAUAUACCCAUACAUAAAAAUGAAAAUUCCUUUUAGGUGGCAGUAAAUAAGGAUAAGAGAUGAUAGUCAGGCACGUAGGUUGGAACCAAGCUGCACACACCGCACAGUGGAGAGAGACCUGAUCCUGCUUAGGGCAGAGUGGGGGAAAGGAGCCAGGGCCUCCUCCUGCUCUGAUCCCCACCAGCUCAUGACCUUGGACCAGCCCGUGACCUCGCAACCUCGCAGAACUGUAAAACUCUAGUAGCUGCACGACGAUGAAGUGGGAGCUUUGGAAAGUGGUCCUUAAACUUGGAAGUGCAACAGAAGACUGGAGACUUCACAUAGACCAUUGGGCCCUUCGCCCAG
rnacentral:lncRNA from 10 species